CCAGCCGCCCUGCUCGGGUUGGGAAGGGCGAGCGGGCGCCAGGGCUGGGACACGCGGGCCGAAAUGCCGGGGGACUGGAGCGCGUGAGCAUCCUGGCCCGGAAAGCGCUGCGCCCGAUCCCGAGAGGCUUUUGGAUGGGAGUUGAUCGGGCGCGGGGAGACGGGAACGGGCGAGAAGCCUCGCUCCCCCCGCCCUGCUUGCCUGGGCAGUGGGAAGGCGCUGCCGGUUCCCGGGGACGCCGGUCCUGCUUUGCGAGCCGCAGGGCAGCCCAGCCCGGUUCCUGGGGUGCGUGGGCUGGAUCUGAGCGCAGGGGGUGCGCCUGGGGAGUGCAGAGCGCAAGCGGCCGAGGCUUUUCUCAGGUACAGUUGGCGAGGUAGAUUUUGUGGAAUAGAGAGGCGGAGGGAGGGGCAAGACGAGAGUGGGCAGUUGCUGGCUGCGGGAGCGUUGCUGGUGUCUUACCAGGAACAGUUCGGGAAUAGUGCAGAUUUACAGCUUGUGGGAAAUUAACCGUCCUCUUCCCCUUACAUGUGGCAUGGGGCGCUUGUUUGGCGACGUUAAACAUAGGAUGUUCAGCCUCUGAAUCGGAGCUGGCCGAGGGGUUCCCUUUCAAGAGGUGCAAGUCGCAAGAAGUGCUCUCCAUGCAAAAAGGAGGCCCUCCCUAUGGCAUGAGGAAAAAUGGAGGGCUCUGGAGAUGGACGCAGCUGGUGCCAAACGGUCAGAGACGUGAUGGGUAUGGAAGCCUGGUGUAUCCUUGAAAGCAAUUCAGGCAGAAAUCAAGCAGGAUGCUCCUCUCUGCAGUGAGGAAGAGGUGGCCAUCAGAAUAAAGGAGGGGGGCCGUGGCUGUGUAUUCCCUGUGCCUUAAAGCAGGGCUUGGCAGGACAUCUUGCAUCUGGAAAGCAAGGAAUGUGGGGAUCGUGUUGACUGAUACACUAAGGGAAGUGGGUGUGGUGUGGCAAGGGGAUUAUAAACAAAGGGCGAGAUAGAAUUACUCUUCUGCAGUUCCGCCCAGACAACAAAAUGGGGGGAGCCUCCAGGAGGGGAGAGAGAAACUGGGAAACUCAAGCCCUGGGAGGAGUUUCUUCGCUCCACUUCCGUGCUGCCCCAUAACCUGAAGGUUGAUGUUCGUAGUGCUUGGUUUUUUCCUCUUUGUAUUCAGGCUUGUUUGAGAGGAUGCGUGCAGCCCGUGAUGCAAGCGGUUGCAUUUGGUGGCCACCUUUGCCGGGGAGCAGUCUGUUGCAUUUCUGCCGUCCAGGCAGUGCUGUGUGUCUCUCUGCCUUCGCUGCGUGUCUCGUACCACUCCCAGAGGGGAGAGGCGAUCACGGUCUUUAUCAAAGGAAUGCUUGGUAGCUGCUAGCUCACUUUCUUGGGGGACUUCCAGAUCAUCAAGCUUCGGGAUCAGGAAUGAUCCGAGUGUGGGAAUGCUGCCCCCUAUGCUACUCUUUGAACUGGGCCCUGCUGUAGUGUUGCUCCUCCUGCCUCAGUGAUGGCAUUCCAAGAUCACACAGUCACCUUGUGAGUGGGCUCCCAAGCACAUCCCUUGGGGCUGCAGAAAUGCGCCUUCGCUUUCACAGGUGGAGGACAGAGGCGCCUGUUGGGGGCAGCUGACUUCCUUGCCCAGGCUUGGCGGAAGGGCUCCCAGAGCCACCCGGUCCCUGCUGAUGUGGCUGCUCGGGGUUUGGGAACUAGCGCCCAUUGUACAAGGUGAGACAGAGCCACGGCACUGGUGCUCCGUGACCACUUUUCAGCAUGCAAAAUGUGUGGCAGCCUUUUAGCUCCAAAGAAUGGUAUAAAUCUGAGAGGAGGAUGGUGUUUGGCAUUAGACCUCUGGAAGAUGUGAGCAUAAAUGGGCUGCUGAUAUUCUUGUCUUAUGUUUUGGAAACGUGUAUAGGGAACAAAGAUAAGUCUUUCAGGUCUUGUACAGUUUUGUAAGAGUCUGGCUUCUUUGUAUUCCUUGGUGCAAAAUACCAGCUUCUUCCAGAGUGUUGCCACACCAGAACCGAGUGUGAGCCACAAGUGGAAAUAGCUGUUUCAAGAGGGGGAAAGCAUGUAUUCUUCGCUUUACUUAGCACUGUAUCUGCCACCAGAGGACAAGUGCACUUUUCCACAGCUGUUGAUACAUUUCAGGCUGUGAGCCAUUAAGGGGGAACAGGGCAAGUUGGAGUUCUAAAUAUAAGUUACUCUAAGGGGGAAUUGGGUUGGGGGCACUGCUGAUGGCAGUCGCUGGAAUAGUUUUCAACUCAGGGAAAAAGUAUUGCAAAUCCCCAGAGCAUUCAUGGGUUAUAUACAAGAAAUUUUUGAAUUCCAAAGGAGGCAAUCCUAAAUGUCGCUGAUCACAUGUCCUAAAUUUUAGGAAAGCUGGCUUUAAUAAUCUGAAAGUAAGGUCCCGUGGAAAGCCGCUCUGAUGAGAAAAGGAAGCCAGGAUGGGCAAGAAUGUUUGACACAAGGAAAUUCUGCAGACACAAUUGCAAACAAUUUGAACAAAAGAAAACGGCGGCUACACAAGCAGCCCGUGUGGCUUCAUGAAAAGCUCAGGGAUGAUCUGAAAACCAAAAAGGAAGUGGAGAAAAGAGUGAAGGCAAGUAGCAAGGAAUUGCAAGGCUGGUGUUUGGAGGGAUAAAAUGGCAGGUGCUGAGGUUAGCAAGGCCCUCAAGCUAAAAGCAACCCCCCCCCCCCGCCGCCGCCCCGGCAAAAGACCUUUGGACAUGGUAAAAGGCAGGAAAGAGAGGGCGGGUCACAACUCACUGAGGGUGGCCAAACAAUAACGUAAGAAAGAAAAGGUGGAAAUUAUCCAUUCCUGCUUUGGCUCUGCCUUCUCCCAAAAGGGAGUGUAAUGAUUGCUGGCAAAGGGGAAGCCUGAGCUGAAGGGGCUCAGUUGCAGCUUGAGACUGAUGGGGAACGUCUCAUGAGGUUGAACGAGUUCGCGUCUCCAAGGCCUGAUGAGCUGCAUCCUGGCAUAAUAGCAGAAGAUUUUCAGACCCACGGCCUGUUGUCUUGAGAAAUUUGGAGGACGAGUGCAGUGCCACAUGACUGGAAGGGGACUGAUGUCAUCCCCAUCUUGGAAAAGGGGGAACCUGGGAACUACACACUGGUCAGUGUGACAUCAGUCUCUGGAGAAAUUCUGGAGCAAAUUAUAAAGCAGUCUUCUUCAAACACUUUGAAAACCACAAUAGUCAUGACUAGAAACUAGCAUGGGUUUUGUCAAGAAGUCUGGACAGACUAAUCCGGUUUCAGAGUUGGUCAGGUAACUUCCCUGGUGGACUGUGGGAAUGCUGUGGACCUCUACCUUGGCUUUUGGCAAAGUGCCCAUGAUAACAUGGUCAGCAAACCAGCUAAGAGUGGAACCACCAAGUGGAACUUGGAGGUGGAACAAGUAUCAGGUGGAUCUACAGUUGGCUGCAGAAUACAACAGUGGAACUGAUAACCCAGGGAAUUCUCAGGCUGUCCCACACCGGGGGCAUUCAGGAUGUAGCUGGACAGCCAUCUGUAAGGGCUAUGAGCUAGGCACUGAGCAGCUGGCUUGGACCUCUUGGCUCCUUCCCACUCUAGAAUUCUAAGCAAAAUUAGACAAAAGGGAUAACAGAAAUUAACAUCAGUUAUAUACAUGAAAAGAGAAUCAAAAUAGAUGCAUUUCAGCAUGACGUUCUCCUUGUGUAAUAUAUUCAGACUUAUACAUUUGUCCCUAGUUUGAUAUUAAAGGGGAAUUUUAAAAUGCUGCAUUUUGAAUCGAGGCCCUUUCCGCUUCCCUGUAAGAACAAAAGAAGAGGCAUGCUGGAUUGGACCAGGCUCCCAUCCAGACCAGCAUUCUGUUCACACGGUGGCCCAUCAGCUGCCCACAGGGAAUCCAGAAGCAGGGCAGGCGUGCGACAACCCCCCCCCCAUGUCCGCAGGCACUUGCGCGUACGGACCCUGCCACCGGCGCCCUGUUGUCAUGAGGAGUUGCCACUGACAGCCACUGCCUCCAUCAUGGUGCCCCGUGUGGGAUCUGUUUCCAUCCCUCCUUUGGGAUAACGCACGAUGCUUUGCGACCGUCCGCUUUCUGAGGAUAACCAGUUAAUAAUCUCGGAGAAGACCUCUCCUCUUACUUCAUGAUCGACUUCGCUUUCUCCCAGUUUGCUCAAGGGUCUUGGGUGAGGGAUUUUGUCAAAAGCCCUAUGCAAGCUUGCGUAAACAAUAUGUAAUUCUGAAAAGCUCUUGCGACAGGACUUCCCCUGAUGGAAGCCAUGCUGAUUUUUUUCCCAACUCAGGGUACGCCUUUCCAAGGCAGGAAUUUCUGAUUAGCUUGCUAGUGUUUGUAGUUAUGCUUUCAUAUUGUUUCAGCUUUACUAUUUUUAACUCAUAUUGACACAUACUGUAUUUGUAUAAAACAUUACAAUCACAUAUGUAUUAUACAUGGGCUGUGGGACUUGGAUAAUUUCUGCACAAAGGAAGCUGUCUAACACACUGACUAUUGGCAUUGAAAUCAAAUCUACAACAGUGUGAGCUGGUGCAUACUUAGAAGUAAAUACCUCUGUCAGUUGUGGGUUUUGAUGUAAUAUAUAACACCUAGGAUUGCAUUAGGGCUAUUUUGAAACACCUGUUAUGAAUAUCACAGACUAGACUUGUGUAAAUUGUAUACUGUUAAUAAACAGCGCACCGGCUUAAUUCAAA